rnacentral:ncRNA from 1 species
CACACAGGCUUGGUCCCAACCUUAAAAUCAACUUUUUCUUGACUUACACAUGCAAGUCUCCGCAUACCCGUGAAAACGCCCUUCUUACCCACUCAGGGGAAAGGAGCUGAUAUCAGGCACUAUAAUUAGCCCAAGACAUCUAGCUACGCCACACCCAUAAGGGCCUUCAGCAGUGAUCAACAUUAAAAAUUAACGUCAGUUUGAUUUAGUUAACGAAAAUAGGGCCGGCCAAUCUGGUGCCAGCCGCCGCGGUUACACCAUGUGGCCCAAAUUGAUUUUACCCGGCGUAAAGCGUGAUUAGAGAAAACAUAUUAACUAGGGUUAAACCACAACUAAGCUGUAGCACGCUUGCUCCAUGAAAACCAUACUUCGAAAGAUACCCUAAUUCAUCUACUUGAACCCACGACAACUGGAAUACAAACUGGGAUUAGAUACCCCACUAUGUCUAGUCGUAAACUUUAACUUACAUCAAACCCGCCAGGAAAUUACGAGCAGAGCUUAAAACCCAAAGGACUUGACGGUGCCCCACAUCCUCCUAGAGGAGCCUGUCCUAUAAUCGAUACCCCCCGCUUAACCCCACCAUUUUUAGCUUUUCAGCCUGUAUACUUCCGUCGUCAGCUUACCGCAUGAGCGAUAGUAAGCUUAAUGUCUCCAACAAUACGUCAGGUCAAAGUGCAGCUAAUAAAAUGGAAAGAGAUGGGCUACACUUUCUACUGUAGAAAAUACAAAAGACUAUGUGAAAUCAUACUCAGAAGGUGGAUUUAGUAGUAAAAAGAAAACAUAAUGCUCUUUUUAAUUUUGCACUGGGGCGUGUACACACCGCCCGUCACCCUCUUCAACAAACCACUUUAGUUAUUUAACCCCCCCCCACUUAUCUAGAAGAGGCAAGUCGUAACAUGGUAAGCGUACCGGAAGGUGUGCUUGGAA